rnacentral:rRNA from 1 species
CGGACGGGUGAGUAACGCGUGGGUAACCUGCCUCAUACAGGGGGAUAACAGUUAGAAAUGACUGCUAAUACCGCAUAAGCGCACAGUACCACAUGGUACGGUGUGAAAAACUCCGGUGGUAUGAGAUGGACCCGCGUCUGAUUAGCUGGUUGGUGGGGUAACGGCCCACCAAGGCGACGAUCAGUAGCCGACCUGAGAGGGUGAUCGGCCACAUUGGGACUGAGACACGGUCCAA